rnacentral:rRNA from 1 species
GACGAACGCUGGCGGCGUGCCUAAUACAUGCAAGUCGAACGAGAGCGACCGGUGCUUGCACUGGUCAAUCUAGUGGCGAACGGGUGAGUAACACGUGGGUAACCUGCCCAUCAGAGGGGGAUAACAUUCGGAAACGGAUGCUAAAACCGCAUAGGUCUUCGAACCGCAUGGUUUGAAGAGGAAAAGAGGCGCAAGCUUCUGCUGAUGGAUGGACCCGCGGUGCAUUAGCUAGUUGGUGAGGUAACGGCUCACCAAGGCCGUGAUGCAUAGCCGACCUGAGAGGGUGAUCGGCCACAUUGGGACUGAGACACGGCCCAAACUCCUACGGGAGGCAGCAGUAGGGAAUCUUCCGCAAUGGACGCAAGUCUGACGGAGCAACGCCGCGUGAGUGAAGAAGGUUUUCGGAUCGUAAAACUCUGUUGUUAGAGAAGAACAAGUGCUAGAGUAACUGUUAGCGCCUUGACGGUAU